GUGGGGAAUCUUAGACAAUGGGGGAAACCCUGAUCUAGCCAUGCCGCGUGAGCGAUGAAGGCCUUAGGGUUGUAAAGCUCUUUCAGAGGGGAAGAUAAUGACGGUACCCUCAGAAGAAGCCCCGGCUAACUCCGUGCCAGCAGCCGCGGUAAUACGGAGGGGGCUAGCGUUGUUCGGAAUUACUGGGCGUAAAGCGCACGUAGGCGGACCAGAAAGUCAGGGGUGAAAUCCCGGGGCUCAACCCCGGAACUGCCUUUGAAACUCCUGGUCUUGAGGUCGAGAGAGGUGAGUGGAAUUCCGAGUGUAGAGGUGAAAUUCGUAGAUAUUCGGAGGAACACCAGUGGCGAAGGCGGCUCACUGGCUCGAUACUGACGCUGAGGUGCGAAAGCGUGGGGAGCAAACAGGAUUAGAUACCCCUGUAGUCC
rnacentral:rRNA from 1 species